rnacentral:hammerhead_ribozyme from 1 species
AUCAAACUGACGAGUCCAAAAUAGGACAAAAUGCUCAUCUUGGAU